UGCUAGGCAUAGGGUCCCUGGGCUGGAACUCAAGAGUAGUGGGUGGGCCAGGGUUCCCCUGCCAAUCACUGGGAAAGUGGCACUGGACCUGGACUUGGAUCAGACAACUGCCUGAUACAACAUAUGGACACCUUGCCCAGGUGACUCUGAACUCCUGGGAGGGGAGGACCAAAUAGUGACCUGGCUGGAGUCACGAAGAGGGAACAGCCUGAGUCCCAGAGUGAGAGAGGGGCCACAGGGCGAGGAACCAGCAGAAGGGGGUACCAGACCAGGCAAGAGCUAAUCCUCAGGGCCCAGUGAAUUUGCUGAGCCCCAGAAUGUUAGGAAGAUUCAGAGGGAAGCACGGAAACCGUCCCAAAGGACUGAUGACUUGGCACUGCCUGGUUAGGAUGAUUUAAAUUAUCCAUUAAAAGUAAGGCUCUGGGUGAAAUGUAUGGAAGUCGGCGAGAGAUUCCCCAGCUAUGACUAAAGAAAAAUGGUCCUGGAUGCCCAAACGGGCUUGAAAGCAGAUCAGAAAUUUGAGGACAGCUCUUUGCAAGUGGAGUCAAUCCCAGGGGAAGAUUUUGGGAGAGUUUGACAGUGAACCUAAGCUUGGGUUAUGGCUUCUGUGCCAAAAAGUGAGGACAAAUCCUACAUCUGGCAGACACCUGUCUGCCUUCAGUGAUAUGUAGCUUGAACCUCAAGAGUGUCUGCUAGAAAUUGAGCAGAUGGGAGUGGUAAAGUGCUUUUUACCAGAGAUGCAUCCAAUCUUCAAAAUACAUGACUUGAAUAAAAAAUCUGGAGUUCAGAGGUGCUGUUUUGGUACAGUCCUUCAGUAUGGGCAGCCAAAAACUCCAGCCUUGGAAAUGAAUUUGCCUGAAAUUCGGAUG